GGGGAGAAAUCCUCCCGCUACUUUUCUAGGAGAUGGGUCUGGCCACAGCUCCGCUUGAGGUUUUCAUAGCUGGGAAGCGUAUCUGAGAGGAGGGGCAGGGAAAGAGAGAGAACGAGAAGAACUUGUUACUAAACUUCUAACCUUCCAGGACCUCUUGGGGGAGGAGCCUAAAAAAGGAGCGGAGAAAAAAAGUCAAGUAUUAAAGAAACCCUCACGCUCUAACCCAGAAGGCAGAAUUUAGCCCUAGUGACCUCUGAGAUCAAGGCCCAGAGUGAGUUACUAAACUCCGAAGCUUAUUUUACAGAUGAGGAAACUGAGGCAAAGAUUGACCUGAAUUUCAACUAAGAUCUUCUUGACUCCUGGCUCUGCUCUCCAUCAACUGCUUUCCUGUCAAAGAAUAUGCAAUUUAGUAAAUUUGGGGAUAUAUUUUCACAUUGUUUUGCAGAAUAGAUAAAUCAAUUCACAGCACCAUCAACAAUGCAUUUAAUGUGCCUGUCCUCCUGUCAUCUCUCCAACAAUUAUGAUUUUCUGCUUUUAUCGUUGUUGUUAAUCUGAUCAGUAUAAGAUGACAUCUCAGAGUUGUUUUAAUUUGUAUGUCUCUUAUUAUUAAUAAUGAGGAGCAUCUUUUCAUUGGAUUAUUAAUAGAUUGCAUUUCUUCAUUUGAGAAUUUCCUAGUCAUAUUCUUUGACCAUUUACUUAUUAAGAGAAUGACUCUUAUUCUUACAUGUUUCGAUCUAUUAUUUAUAUAUUUUUAAUAUUAGACAUUCAUCAGAGAAAUUUAAUACAACAGAUUUUUCCCUCAGUUAAUUAUUUCUGAUUCUAAGUGCAUUUAUUUUCCUUGUAUUAUAUAUAAUUGAAACUGUCCAUUUUAUUUGUUAUGAUCAUCUCUGUCCUUUGUUUAAAUAAAAAUUCUCCCCCCUA